rnacentral:rRNA from 1 species
GGCAGGCUUAAUACAUGCAAGUCGAGGGGCAGCAGGGUGUAGCAAUACAUCGCUGGCGACCGGCAAACGGGUGCGGAACACGUACGCAACCUUCCCAAAACUGAUGAAUAGCCCUCCGAAAGGAGGAUUAAUACACCGUAACAUAAUGAAAUGGCAUCAUUUUAUUAUUAUAGCCCUCGGGCGGUUUUGGAUGGGCGUGCGCCUGAUUAGGUAGUUGGCGGGGUAACGGCCCACCAAGCCUGCGAUCAGUAACUGGUGUGAGAGCACGACCAGUCACACGGGCACUGAGACACGGGCCCGACUCCUACGGGAGGCAGCAGUAAGGAAUAUUGGUCAAUGGACGAAAGUCUGAACCAGCCAUGCCGCGUGAAGGAUGAAGGCCCUCUGGGUUGUAAACUUCUUUUAUCUGGGACGAAAAAAGGAAAUUCUUUUCCACUUGACGGUACCAGAGGAAUAAGCACCGGCUAACUCCGUGCCAGCAGCCGCGGUAAUACGGAGGGUGCAAGCGUUAUCCGGAUUUACUGGGUUUAAAGGGUGCGUAGGUGGGUAGGUAAGUCAGUGGUGAAAUCUUCGAGCUUAACUCGGAAACUGCCAUUGAUACUAUUUAUCUUGAAUAUCCUGGAGGUGAGCGGAAUAUGUCAUGUAGCGGUGAAAUGCUUAGAUAUGACAUAGAACACCCAUUGCGAAGGCAGCUCACUACGGGAUUAUUGACACUGAGGCACGAAAGCGUGGGGAUCAAACAGGAUUAGAUACCCUGGUAGUCCACGCCCUAAACGAUGGAUACUCGACAUCAGCGAUAUACUGUUGGUGUCUGAGCGAAAGCAUUAAGUAUCCCACCUGUUGAAGUACGACCGCAAAGGUUG